rnacentral:pre_miRNA from 14 species
UUGUUUGUAGGCGCAGCACCAUUAAGAUUCACAUGGAAAUUGAUAAAUACCCUAAAUUAGGGUUUUGAUAUGUAUAUGAGAAUCUUGAUGAUGCUGCAUCAACAAUCGA